rnacentral:rRNA from 1 species
GACGAACGCUGGCGGCGUGCUUAACACAUGCAAGUCGAACGAAAGGUCCCUGCUUGUUUUGUGUGCUCGAGUGGCGAUCAUGUGAGUAUCACGUGAGUAACCUUCCCGUGUCGUUGGGAUAACUUCAGGUAACUGGUGCUAAUACCGGAUAGGAGCUCCUGCUGCAUGGUGGGGGUUGGAAAGUUUCGGUGGUGGGGGAUGGACUCGCGGCUUAUCAGCUUGUUGGUGGGGUAGUGGCUUACCAUGGCUUUGACGGGUAGCCGGCCUGAGAGGGUGAGCGGACACAUUAGGACUGGGAUGCGGCACAGACUACAACGGGAGGCAGCAGUGGAGAAUAUUACACAGUGGACGGAAGCCUGAUGCAGCAACGCGGCGUGCGGGAUGACGGCAUUUGGGUUGUAAACCGCUGUCGCCUGUGACGAAGCGUGAGUGACGGUAAUGGGUAAAGAAGCACCGGCUAACUACGUG